CCUUUCUCUUUCCAGUACAACUAACUGGAAUGAUUCAAGAGGUAGAUAGUUCGGAAAGUUCGACGAAUUCGAGUGAUUACGAUCAAGGUGCAAGCGAGGAGAAACAAUGGUUGCUGCUUGCUGGAAUGUUUGUGUUUGCGCUGGAGCAGUACAUCUUAAAGAAUGUUCUCCCCGGCGAUAAGGUCAACCCUUAUGUAUUCCCGAGAAACAUCAAAGAUAUAGAAAACGAUAUAAAGAUCAACACCUAAAGUGAAGUAACCGGAAUUGAGCAGACGCCCGCCGAAAAAUGGCGAGUACUACAAGAGAGACUGGGCUGGAAGAGAGAAUACAAAGAUGUGAUAUCAACCGCUAAAGACGCCUACUUAAAGGUUAACCCUUCUGCUGACAUUGAGGAAAAUAAACACCGAGACCCUCAGCCAGCUUGACGUCCAUAAGGCAUUCGAACACGUGCUUUGCCCAGAGCUGAGGGCGGCGGGAAGAGAAGUGGCUCAAAUAGUCAUAGGGCUAAG